rnacentral:ncRNA from 1 species
GCGCAGCUGGGUAGCUAAGUGCGGACGGGAUAAACGCUGAAAGCAUCUAAGCGUGAAACCCCCCUCAAAACUAGGUUUCCCUUGAGAGCCGUAGAAGACUACUACGUUGAUAGGCCAGGUGUGGAAGAGCCGCGAGGCUUGAAGCUGACUGGUACUAAUCGCUCGAUCGGCUUGAACGA